rnacentral:tRNA from 1 species
UCCUGAUGGCUCAGCAGUAAAGAAUCUGCCUGUAAUGCAGGAGGCCCAGGUUUGAUUCCUGGGUCAGGAA